rnacentral:rRNA from 1 species
GACGAACGCUGGCGGCGUGCUUAACACAUGCAAGUCGAACGGAAAGGCCCUGCUUGCAGGGUACUCGAGUGGCGAACGGGUGAGUAACACGUGGGUGAUCUGCCCUGCACUUCGGGAUAAGCCUGGGAAACUGGGUCUAAUACCGGAUAGGAGCCAUUUUUAGUGUGAUGGUUGGAAAGUUUUUUCGGUGUAGGAUGAGCUCGCGGCCUAUCAGCUUGUUGGUGGGGUAAUGGCCUACCAAGGCGGCGACGGGUAGCCGGCCUGAGAGGGUGGACGGCCACAUUGGGACUGAGAGACGGCCCAGACUCCUACGGGAGGCAGCAGGGGGGAAUAUUGCACAAUGGGCGCAAGCCUGAUGCAGCGACGCCGCGGGGGGGAUGACGGCCUUCGGGUUGUAAACUCCUUUCGCUAGGGACGAAGCUUUUUGUGACGGUACCUAGAUAAGAAGCACCGGCUAACUACGUG